rnacentral:lncRNA from 1 species
GACCGCCACGUCAGCAGCGCGGCUAAGCUCCGUGCACCGUGUGGCAGACACGUUGGCACACGUCCAUGCAGGAAGCCACGCAGGCGAUCUGCAUGCCAGCAGAUCUAAUGACCCAGAUCACAUCUCAUGCGCACGGACGGCCCAAAUCCAUUUCCUCUUCAGACUCAUUUAGAUGGUUGGAUUUGAUCACGAUGGAUGGCCUAGAUUUGCACACAGAUUGGCCUAAACGAGUCUCGAAUUAGAUGGCUCUCCUUAUUCCACGUCGACGUGAAU